UCCGCUUCCGGUUCCUAGCGUUAACUGUGACCGGGGUUCAGCGCUCGGGUGAGGAGCUGGUGGCGUCGGCAGGUUCGAGGCGAUUCGAGCUCCAGCUAGGAUGAUCGAGGUUGUUUGCAACGACCGUCUGGGGAAGAAGGUCCGCGUUAAAUGCAAAUGAAAUCCACGAUGGGAUGAACCUGGAGCUUUAUUAUCAAUAGAUGAGAAUCCUCAUCUUCCUGCCCCGCUUUCCUCUCCCAUCCUCAUCCCCCACACUGGGAUAGAUGCUUGUUUGUAAAAACUCACCUUAAUAAAGACCUAGAUGUUG
rnacentral:sRNA from 1 species